rnacentral:lncRNA from 1 species
CAUCAGUAGUUGACACCGGAAGACGGAGCCCAAGAGCGAAUCAGGAGAACGUGAGCGAGCGCGCGGCAGCUAUUGACCGUUUUAAUGUUUACUUUCCAGACUCCUCCAUUUAUCUCAAGGCAAGUGCGUGGAUCUGAGUUUCCGACAGUAAGUGCUGAACACGUGAUUCUAUUAAAGGCCCAUUUUCAGGGGUUUCAGCAUUUUUUGAAGCACUCUCUAACCCAGAUUUUGUCUCCGUUGAAUCUCCGCCCAGAUCUGGUGUCUUGGCUUUCCAUUCUGCAGGAAUGCUGAAUAUCCGUUUGUGGGGGAAGCUGAAAGAUUAAUGGAUUCUGUGGGCAGCUAAAUGAUGCAACUGUGUGAAAAUCUGGCCUGACUGCACCGUUUUCUUUCAUGCCAAGACUCCAGAAAUAUGUGUCUAAAAUGUCAGCUGAAAUAAAGUCACCAGCAUGUUAUGCAUUAGGAUUUCUUGUCACUUUUAGCUGCAUGCAGCAAUUUUUACAUCCCCCAAAAAAUGGCAAAGAAAAAAGUGAAAGCAAUGAAGGUUCAUCAAACGUGACGCAUUUGGAGCAAUAAAAGAAAUAUUUCAGAAAUAUUAAUGAUUUCAAUCUGUGGGCGCUGUCAAACUUACAAC